AAUCAACGCUGGCGGCGUGCCUCAGACAUGCAAGUCGAACGCGAAAGUUUCCUUCGGGGAGCGAGUAGAGUGGCGCACGGGUGAGUAACACGUAGGUAAUCUACCUUCGGAUGGGGAAUAACAAUCGGAAACGGUUGCUAAUACCGCAUAAUGCAGCGGCACCUAAUGGUGACAGUUGUUAAAGCGGGGGAUCGUAAGACCUCGCGUCUGAAGAGGAGCCUGCGGCGGAUUAGCUUGUUGGUAAGGUAAUGGCUUACCAAGGCGACGAUCCGUAACCGGCCUGAGAGGGCGGUCGGUCACACUGACACUGACAUACGGGUCAGACUCCUACGGGAGGCAGCAGUCGGGAAUUUUGGGCAAUGGGCGAAAGCCUGACCCAGCAACGCCGCGUGAAGGAUGAAAUCCCUCGGGAUGUAAACUUCGCAAGAACGGGAAGAAUAAGCGAG
rnacentral:rRNA from 1 species